rnacentral:rRNA from 1 species
CUGGCGGCGUCCUAACACAUGCAAGUCGAACGAGGAUCAUCAGGUUAGCAAUAANCUGGUGGUUCUAGUGGCGCACGGGUGAGUAACACGUGGGUAACCUGCCCUAGAGUCUGGGAUACCCCCUCGAAAGGGGGGCUAAUACCGGAUACGUUCCCUGGAUCGAAAGGUUUGGGGAGGAAAGGUGGCGCAAGCUGCCGCUCUUGGAGGGGCUCGCGGCCUAUCAGCUAGUUGGCGGGGUAACGGCCCACCAAGGCUAUGACGGGUAGCUGGUCUGAGAGGACGACCAGCCACACGGGGACUGAGACACGGCCCCGACUCCUACGGGAGGCAGCAGUGGGGAAUUUUCCGCAAUGGGCGAAAGCCUGACGGAGUGACGCCGCGUGUGGGACGAAGGCCUUCGGGUCGUAAACCACUGUCAGUGGGAAAGAUGGAUGUCGGCGUGAUAACCGCCGGCAUUUGACGGUACCUGCAGAGGAAGCCCCGGCUAACUCUGUGCCAGCAGCCGCGGUAAGACAGAGGGGGCAAGCGUUGCUCGGAAUUACUGGGCGUAAAGGGCGCGUAGGCGGGAUGGCAAGUCGGU